rnacentral:rRNA from 1 species
AGAGUUUGAUCAUGGCUCAGGAUGAACGCUGGCGGCAUGACCUAAAACAUGCAAGUCGAGCGGUAAGGCCCCUUCGGGGGUACACGAGCGGCGGACGGGUGAGUAACGCGUGGGAAUCUACCCAAACUGAGGGAUAAGCAUUGGAAACGAUGUCUAAUACCGCAUAUGGUCUUCGGAUUAAAGCUUCGGCGGUUUGGGAAGAGCCCGCGUAAGAUUAGCUAGUUGGUGAGGUAAAGGCUCACCAAGGCGACGAUCUUUAACUGGUUUGAGAGGAUGAUCAGUCACACUGGAACUGAGACACGGUCCAGACUCCUACGGGAGGCAGCAGUUAGGAAUUUUCCACAAUGGGCGAAAGCCUGAUGGAGCAAUGCCGCGUGCAGGAUGAAGGCCUUAGGGUUGUAAACUGCUUUAUACGUGAAGAAUAUGACGGUAACGUAUGAAUAAGGAUCGGCUAACUCCGUG